rnacentral:misc_RNA from 1 species
AUGAAAAUGACGUGUUGUUAUUCAAGGCCAUUGGUUGAUUUAAUCAAUGGUUUAACAUUAAAAUUGAUUAUUAUUAUUAUUAUUAGAAUUAGAAUUACUUUUAUUUUGAUUUCACUUACUCUCUCAGGGAUUGGAAACUGGAGAAAUCCCUAGAAGCAAAAACGUACAAAAACAAGAAAUACAAGUGAGAAGAGUGAAACUUGAUUCACAGAGCGAAAGGAAG